rnacentral:sRNA from 1 species
CUUUGUACAAUUUAAGAUAACUUAAAAUAUUGACACAAAAUAAUUGCACCUUGAGAUGAGGUUCUCAAUAUUAUAUUGGUGGUAUUUACAGAUGACUGAUCAAUGAUUCUUUUUCGUGAAAGAAAAUGACUUGAAAAGAAUUCUUUUGAUUCUUAGCUAGAUAAUGAAAGUAAAUCAAUUCAAGAAAUUUCUGAAAUGGUUAGCACUAGUAGAGUUUUUAGUUUCAGUUCAAAUAAGUGAUCUUAUUGACACCUUUUCUGGUACAACUUAAUAGAUUUAGGUCACUUAAAACAAUUCUAGGUCAUAAGACAUGAAAGUAGGUCAUCCAUUGUAUACCAUAGUCAGAUUAAAUAUCAUGUAGCAACGCCUUGUAAUGUAUUAUUGAAUUAUUUAUACAUUGUUGUUGUUGUUGCUUUAGCAUUUAUUUCAUGCAAGAAAUAAAACUUUUUGUUAAAG